GUGAGUAGUUCAGAGUUUGAUCCUGGCUCAGGAUUAACGCUGGCGGCGUGCAUAACACAUUCAAGUCGAACGGUGAUGAGAGCUUCGGCUCUCUGAUCAGUGGCGGACGGGUGAGUAACGCGUGAGCAACCUGCCCUUGUGUGGGGGAUAACGUCUGGAAACGGACGCUAAUACCGCAUAACCCAAUAGUACGGCAUCGUACAGUUGGCAAAGAUUUAUUGCACAAGGAUGGGCUCGCGUCUGAUUAGCUAGUUGGUGAGGUAACGGCUCACCAAGGCGACGAUCAGUAGCCGGACUGAGAGGUUGAACGGCCACAUUGGAACUGAGAUACGGUCCAG
rnacentral:rRNA from 1 species